GGCAAGAUGGCCGAGCGGUCUAAGGCGCUGCACUCAAGAACUAUCUUUCCAAAGAAAAUUUGGCAUUGCAGUUCCGAAAGGAGCGUGGGUUCGAAUCCCACUCUUGUCA